rnacentral:rRNA from 1 species
UACGAAGGGUGCAAACGUUUGCUCGGAAUUAUUGGGCGUAAAGCGCACGUAGGCGGCUUUGCAAGUCGGAUGUGAAAUCCCUCGGCUUAACCAAGGAAGUGCAUCCGAAACUGCAGAGCUUGAGUACUUAAGAGGAUCGCGGAACUCCUAGUGUAGAGGUGGAAUUCGUAGAUAUUAGGAAGAACACCAGCGGCGAAGGCGGACACUCUGGGCCGGUACUGACGCUGAGGCGCGAAAGCGUGGGGAGCAAACAGG